rnacentral:misc_RNA from 1 species
AAUCCACACUCUUACCACACGAUUGACAGGAGAAAGCACUGGCCACUCAUCAUACAAAGAGAGCAAAACAGUAGCACAGAAAAAAAAGAUGCGUGUGUGCGUACAUAUGCAGACAAAAUGACCGUCGUCAACAGCAGCACGCAAACCAGAUGCGAAGGUGGUGGGGCGGGGUGGGGGUGGGGGGCACAUACCAGUCGCCUGAGAGGUGACGCGGCGUUAUGUCAAAGUGCGUCUCUUGCCCUCAUCCCCCUCUCGCAUGCGUUUUUUUUUUCGCUGUGUCUAAUUCUGCAUACAUCGGGCUCGGGAGCGGUAGAGGGAAGGCGCGCAAUACACAUUUAGUGCUGCGACAAUACUGAUGCAAACGGGCUGCACUCGCAUUGAAGCCGAGUCCUUGAAAUAGCGGCACGCUUGUGCGCGCAUGGAAAUUUGGAGUCUUCUGCUUUGUUGCUCUUCGAUCACCCCUCUCACGUUCACCUUACAUCUUGGCCCAUAACCACGACCGUUUUCUUCGGUAACCCUCUACACCUCUUGUUCUUUGGCGUGAG